AUGAACGCUAGCGACAGGCUUAACACAUGCAAGUCGAGGGGCAGCACAGGUAGCAAUACCGGGUGGCGACCGGCGCACGGGUGAGUAACGCGUAUGCAACUUACCUAUCAGAGGGGGAUAACCCGGCGAAAGUCGGACUAAUACCGCAUGAAGCAGGGGUCCCGCAUGGGGAUAUUUGCUAAAGAUUCAUCGCUGAUAGAUAGGCAUGCGUUCCAUUAGGCAGUUGGCGGGGUAACGGCCCACCAAACCGACGAUGGAUAGGGGUUCUGAGAGGAAGGUCCCCCACAUUGGUACUGAGACACGGACCAAACUCCUACGGGAGGCAGCAGUGAGGAAUAUUGGUCAAUGGCCGAGAGGCUGAACCAGCCAAGUCGCGUGAGGGAUGAAGGUUCUAUGGAUCGUAAACCUCUUUUAUAAGGGAAUAAAGUGCGGGACGUGUCCCGUUUUGUAUGUACCUGAUGAAUAAGGAUCGGCUAACUCCGUG
rnacentral:rRNA from 1 species